UACAGAGGGUGCAAGCGUUGUUCGGAAUUAUUGGGCGUAAAGGGCGCGUAGGCGGUGCCACAAGUCACCUGUGAAAUCUCCGGGCUUAACUCGGAGCCUGCAGGCGAAACUGUGGUGCUGGAGUGUGGGAGAGGUGCGUGGAAUUCCCGGUGUAGCGGUGAAAUGCGUAGAUAUCAGGAGGAACACCGGUGGUGUAAACGGCUUUCUGGACCAUAACUGACGCUGAGGCACGAAAGCGUGGGUAGCAAACAGG
rnacentral:rRNA from 1 species